rnacentral:rRNA from 1 species
GACGAACGCUGGCGGCGUGCUUAACACAUGCAAGUCGAACGGAAAGGCCCUGCUUUUGUGGGGUGCUCUAGUGGCGAACGGGUGAUUAACACUUGAGUAACCUGCCCUUGACUUUGGGAUAACUUCAGCAAACUUGGGCUAAUACCGCAUAGGAGUUCCUGCUGUAUGGUGGGGGUUGGAAAGUUUCGGCGGUUGGGGAUGGACUCGCGGCUUAUCGCCUUGUUGGUGGGGUACUGGCUUCCCAUAGCUUUGACAGGUAGCCGGGCUGAGAGGGUGACGAACAACGUUGGGGAGGGAAUGAGGACCAGGCUCCUAAGGGAGGCAGCAGUGGGGAAGAUUACACAAUGGGCGAGGGCCUGAUGGAGCAACGCCACGUGCGGGAUGAGAACCUUCGGGUUGUAGACCGCUUUCGCCUGUGACGAGGCGUGAGUGACGGUAAUGGGUAAAGAAGCACCGGCUAGCUACGUG